rnacentral:rRNA from 1 species
AUUGAACGCUGGCGGCAGGCCUAACACAUGCAAGUCGAACGAGUGGCGGACGGGUGAGUAAUGUCUGGGAAACUGCCCGUAGGAGGGGGAAAACUUCUGGAAACGGUAGCUAAUAACGCAUACCAUCGGAUGUGCCCAGAUGGGGUUGGCUAGUAGGUGGGGUAACGGCUCACCUAGGCGACGAUCCCUAGCUGGUCUGCGAGGCUGACCAGCCACACUGGAACUGAGACACGGUCCAGCCUCCUACGGGAGGCAGCAUUGGGGAAUAUUGCACAAUGUGCGCAGUCCUGAUGCAGCCCUGCCGCGUGUAUGAAGAAGGCCUUCGGUUUGUAAAGUACUUUCAGCGAGGAGGCGUUACUCGCAGAGGAAGCACCGGCUAACUCCGUGCCAGCCGCCGCGGUAAUUC